AUUGAACGCUGGCGGCAGGCCUAACACAUGCAAGUCGAACGGUAACAGGAAACAGCUUGCUGUUUCGCUGACGAGUGGCGGACGGGUGAGUAAUGUCUGGGAAACUGCCUGAUGGAGGGGGAUAACUACUGGAAACGGUAGCUAAUACCGCAUAACGUCGCAAGACCAAAGAGGGGGACCUUCGGGCCUCUUGCCAUCGGAUGUGCCCAGAUGGGAUUAGCUAGUAGGUGGGGUAACGGCUCACCUAGGCCACGAUCCCUAGCUGGUCUGAGAGGAUGACCAGCCACACUGGAACUGAGACACGGUCCAGACUCCUACGGGAGGCAGCAGUGGGGAAUAUUGCACAAUGGGCGCAAGCCUGAUGCAGCCAUGCCGCGUGUAUGAAGAAGGCCUUCGGGUUGUGAAGUACUUUCAGCGGGGAGGAAGGGAGUAAAGUCAAUACCUUUGCUCAUUGACGUUACCCGCAGAAGAAGCACCGGCUAACUCCGUGCCAGCAGCCGCAGUAA
rnacentral:rRNA from 1 species